rnacentral:misc_RNA from 1 species
GAUUAGAAACAAUGGGCAUUUUCCCACGGUAGAGCUUUCCUAAGUCAGUGACUCCAAUAAGGUUCUCCGGAGAAUAUUGACCGGUAAAGUGACUCAGCUCCUCUGAUGAGAAUUCAAGAAGUUCAUUCUCCACAGGGCAUUCCUCAUUUGACUUGAGGUCAAAAAGAUCAUCCUUAACGAGGCAUUCCUCCUUAACGAGACAAUCCUCUUGUCCGCACAGCAGUUUGAAGGGUCCAAUAGAGCUCCGGCGACGGCGAAACAUGAUCUUUUAC